rnacentral:rRNA from 1 species
CGGACGGGUGAGUAACGCGUGGGUAACCUGCCUUGUACAGGGGGAUAACAGUUGGAAACGGCUGCUAAUACCGCAUAAGCGCACGGCAUCGCAUGAUGCAGUGUGAAAAACUCCGGUGGUAUAAGAUGGACCCGCGUUGGAUUAGCUAGUUGGUGAGGUAACGGCCCACCAAGGCGACGAUCCAUAGCCGACCUGAGAGGGUGACCGGCCACAUUGGGACUGAGACACGGUCCAA